GCUGACACAUCCCUGCCAAUCUCCGGCAGACCCUCCCUCCCAGACCCUCCCACCUCCUGGACAGCAUCCAUGUUGAAGCUGCCUUCAACAUGGAUGCUGUCCAGGAAGUAGGAGGGUCUGGGAGGGAGGGUCUGCUGGAGAUUGGCAGCGAUGCGUCAG